UGGGGAAUCUUCCGCAAUGGGCGAAAGCCUGACGGAGCAACGCCGCGUGAGUGAAGACGGCCUUCGGGUUGUAAAACUCUGUGAUUCGGGACGAAAGAUAAGCAGACGAAUAAUCUGCAUAAGUGACGGUACCGAAAAAGCAAGCCACGGCUAACUACGUGCCAGCAGCCGCGGUAAUACGUAGGUGGCAAGCGUUGUCCGGAAUUAUUGGGCGUAAAGCGCGCGCAGGCGGCUACUUAAGUCCAUCUUAAAAGUGCGGGGCUUAACCCCGUGAUGGGAUGGAAACUGAGAAGCUGGAGUGUCGGAGAGGAAAGUGGAAUUCCUAGUGUAGCGAUGAAAUGCGUAGAGAUUAGGAAGAACACCGGUGGCGAAGGCGACUUUCUGGACGACAACUGACGCUUAGGCGCGAAAGCGUGGGGAGCAAACAGG
rnacentral:rRNA from 1 species